GCUGACAUAAGUAACGAUAAUGCGGGUGAAAAACCCGCACGCCGGAAGACCAAGGGUUCCUGUCCAACGUUAAUCGGGGCAGGGUGAGUCGACCCCUAAGGCGAGGCUGAAAAGCGUAGUCGAUGGGAAACGGGUUAAUAUUCCCGUACUGGUGGUAACUGCGAUGGGGGAACGGAGAAGGCUAGGUUGUCCGGGCGACGGUCGUCCCGGUUCAAGCAGGUAGGCAGAGUGAUUAGGCAAAUCCGGUCACUUAAUGCUGAGAUGUGAUGACGAACCACCAAGGUGGUGAAGCAAUUGAUGCCCCGCUUCCAGGAAAAGCCUCUAAGCUUCAGGUUACCAACAAUCGUACCCCAAACCGACACAGGUGGUCAGGUAGAGAAUACUCAGGCGCUUGAGAGAACUCGGGUGAAGGAACUAGGCAAAAUGGUGCCGUAAC
rnacentral:rRNA from 1 species